GACAGAGGGUGCAAACGUUGUUCGGAAUUACUGGGCGUAAAGCGCGUGUAGGCUGCUUCGAAAGUCGGGUGUGAAAGCCCCGGGCUCAACCUGGGAAUUGCAUUUGAGACUGCGUAGCUAGGGUGCGGAAGAGGGAAGCGGAAUUUCCGGUGUAGCGGUGAAAUGCGUAGAUAUCGGAAGGAACACCAGUGGCGAAAGCGGCUUCCUGGUCCAGCACCGACGUUCAGGCACGAAAGCGUGGGGAGCAAACAGG
rnacentral:rRNA from 1 species